rnacentral:lncRNA from 1 species
GAAUAUGCCGCAUUGCAUAAAUUGUUGUUGUUGUGGGUGAAUGUUGGAUGACCCAAUUAGUCCAAGACAGGAAGACCAGGACCCCAUGCUACGGCCUGGCACAGAGUAAGCAAGUCCAGGCCCCAGUCUACAGGCCUGGCACAGAGUAAGGCACGGUUAUGGGACUCGAAGACCAGGAGCCCAGAGGAGGCCCUGGAAAAUGGUAAGUAAUGUAUGUAUGACAGGAAGACCAGGACCCCAUGCUACGGCCUGGCACAGAGUUAACUUGGACUAUUUGGUGACAAGUUCACCCAACCCUUAUGUGAAUUGUCUGUGUUAUGAUGCAUUCCAUGUGAGCAUAGUGUUAAUGUG